UACGUAGGGGGCUAGCGUUGUCCGGAAUCAUUGGGCGUAAAGCGCGCGUAGGCGGCCCGGUAAGUCCGCUGUGAAAGUCAAAGGCUCAACCUUUGAAUGUCAGCGGAUACUGCCGUGACUUGAGUCCGGUAGGGGAGUGCGGAAUUCCUGGUGUAGCGGUGAAAUGCGCAGAUAUCAGGAGGAACACCAAUGGCGAAGGCAGCACUCUGGGCCGGUACUGACGCUGAGGAGCGAAAGCGUGGGGAGCAAACAGG
rnacentral:rRNA from 1 species